rnacentral:rRNA from 1 species
UACGGGGGGUGCGAGCGUUGUCCGGAAUCAUUGGGCGUAAAGAGCGUGUAGGCGGUCCGGUAAGUCGGAUGUGAAAACCAGAGGCUCAACCUCUGGCCUGCAUCCGAUACUGCCCGACUAGAGGUAGGUAGGGGAGAUCGGAAUUCCUGGUGUAGCGGUGAAAUGCGCAGAUAUCAGGAGGAACACCGGUGGCGAAGGCGGAUCUCUGGGCCUUACCUGACGCUGAGGCGCGAAAGCUAGGGGAGCAAACAGG